AGCAGCCGCGGUAAUUCCAGCUCCAAUAGCGUAUAUUAAAGUUGUUGCAGUUAAGAAGCUCGUAGUUGAAUUUCGGGAUCAAUAUGUUGGUCGUGCCUCGGUACGUACUAGCUUAUUGGUUUCUCCUUUCUGAAGAACCAUGAUGUCAUUUAUUUGGUGUCGUGGGGAAUCAGGACUGUUACUUUGAAAAAUUAGAGUGUUUAAAGCAGGCUCACGCUUGAAUACAUUAGCAUGGAAUAAUGAAAUAGGACGUUUGAUUCUAUUUUGUUGGUUUCUAGGAUCGACGUAAUGAUUAAUAGGGAUAGUUGGGGGUCAUUAGUAUUCAAUUGUCAGAGGUGAAAUUCUUGGAUUUUAUUGAAGACUAACUACUGCGAAAGCAUUUGCCAAGGAUGUUUUCAUUAAUCAAGAACGAAAGUUAGGGGAUCGAAGACGAUCAGAUACCGUCGUAGUCUUAACCAUAAACUAUAGCCGACUAGGGAUCGGAUGAUGUUAAUUUUUAAUGA
rnacentral:misc_RNA from 1 species